UUAACUUCCCGGGAUUUGUUGGCUAAAUAAAAUAAUUUAUAUAGAACUGUAGAUCCUAGGAGCUCAGUCAGUUAUGCAAGGAAUGUAAUUUCUUUGAAUGUGCUACUUGAAAGCUUAGGAUCUGGGAUUAGAAGGCCCUCAAUCCUGUUCCUUCCCUAUAAACCUUCUGUGAUGGAGAUUCUGGAGUUUACUUCAAGGGUCAAGUUUCAGGUCUUUGGUCCUUGCUGGGUGCUCCAGUCUACCUUAGUGCUGCUGCCAAGACCUGCUGCUGCUGCUGCUAAUUCAUCAGAGAUGGGAAGCAGAGCCCUGGACUCAAGGCCACAGUAGUUCUGGUCAUUUUUAGAGAAUGCUUCCAUGAACUGUUUAGGUUUAUCUUGCAUCAAGAGGGGCCAUCAGUCUGUGUGUCAUCCUAAUGUGUUUAAGAUGGAUAGGGAGGACACUUCAGCUAAAAUAUAAUCGGAUGCAGUGAUUUUAACAGGGCUUCAUGUAGCUGGGGCGUGGCCAUCAGCGUUCUCGUAACAGUUCUGGUUUCUAUUUGCCAAAGACAUGGAAUGGCUGUGAAGUCAGAAGUAAAAGCAGAGAAAGGGGCUUGGCUCUCCUCUCUGUGCGUUGGAGAGUAGCAGUAGCAGCAUUUUGAGAGUGCAGCAUUUUGGCAAGAUGUUGCUCAGCUUUCAAACGGGGAGGUGUGUGCCUGCUCCAACACCAACCACCAGGACGAUGGAGACAAAGAGCCCGGCCUCACACGGAUGGGUGGUCUUGGGAGAAGACCAAAGCUGAAAACAUAUGAAGAAUUUAGCCAGGCCUUGGCUGCCCCAAGAGGAAAUAUGGGGAUCUCUUGCUGUUCUGGGAUGAGCCGAUCUAAUAGCUUUCUGGUAGAAGUCUUUCCAGGGCCCUUCAAGUGACAUUGUGCUGGUUUUUAUCGCUCAGUCUCAGAUGUAAGUAAUCCCCAUUUCCCAAGUUCCUUAGAGACUAACAUGAUACUUCAUAUUGAGAGCUAAAUAUGGAGUCCUAGAAUGAGAGAGAGUAAAGUACCCUGCCAAAGCGCCCUUCUAAGAAGCUCAGCAGCAAGGACAAACCACAGCACGUCACUUCUGUUCUUCAUCAGUGGACUCACAGGGUCACAGGCUUCCUUCCCACCCUCCAGCUCUGAGCCUUCCCACAGAUGAAUCCCUGACCCAGACAACUGCUUUCCUCUGAAGCACAUAAAGGCCUGAUGAACACAGCCAUGUGAAGUCUCCAGUGCAGAUACAUUUGUCACUGGUGGCUCUUACAUCUCCCAUUCAGUUCCUUGGGGGUGGGGGAUAGCAAGGAAAACAGGCUUUUUGUUGUUUUUCUAGAAAAUAUUUCUUUGAAAAACAUCACAUAUCCCAAUCCCAAUCUUAUCAGCCCUCUCUACCCUUGGACCCCCCCCCCCCGCCCCGAAAGAAAAUAAAAAAAUAAACCAAACACUAAAAACAUCUCGUUGUGGAAGCUGUAGUGUAUGCGUCCCGCAGUGCACCCUUUUGUCCACACAUCUUUACUUGCAAAUGCUCAUUGCAAUGAGACAUUGGUCUGCUUUGAGGCCUCUGACUUCUGCCAUAGCAUCUCUUGGAUAGCCUGUUGUUGCCCUGUGUCUCAGAGAUCCUGCAGCAGGUUCCCUUUCACACACUCUAGCAAUUCAUAGAUGAGGUAGAUGUUGGGGGUGGGCCAACUCACAACCCUGGAUCUUAGCUUGAGUGGUAGCUGAGUUGCUCAGCCCAGCAGCCCUGCCGUACCCACACCACCAAAGUCAGUUCUCCAGUACUACCCUGGCUCGCUCACUCAGUGCUGCGGCUGGCAAGGGGCAGGGCAGGCUUUUCCUUGCUCACAUCCUUGUGGCCCACUCCGCCAUGCUCCCACCACCAGGGCCAGGUCUACUGGGCUGCCCAGGUGAGGUGCAGUGUAUGCUCUCCCGAGGGUUGCAGUUAGUGAGAGGUAGGACCAGCUCUUCAGAGUGCCACAGCCCAGUGAGGGGUGGGGCCAGCUUGUCACAGCCUUUGGAUAUCAACAUGGUCCCCCAUGGCAACCCAGUCCAGGGAUGUCCACAUGGUCUUUAGUGGUAAUAUGAGCAAUGACAUUGACCCAGACUCCUGCUGCUGCAUGAUCAUGGACCCAGACAUGGUCCUCAGGAAUAGUAUGGCCUCAGGUGGCAGGGCAGGCUACUCACAACAGGCUGUCCCUUUCCACCCUUAAUUCUCCAGUUCCCUCUCUCUUCAUAAUCCUCAAGCUGCCCCACGUCUCUUUCUCUCCCAUCUGUCCACCACAUAUGUGGACACUGUAGUGGCUCUAGCUGUGGAUGGGCCAAGUGGCUGCUGGGCCCUGGGUGUCUUCCCUGACCUGUGCCUUGUCAUUUUGUCGCAGUGAACUUCUUCACAGGCAAAAUCAGCCAUGACUCCAGUUCUUUUAUACUUCCACCCAGUCACUGGCUUCCUGAAGAUGUCCAGUGCACACGAAGAUUCUGGGGACAGAAGUCGCAGGGACAUGGAAAAAUAGGGUUCCCUCUCUCCAAAGUUCUAGUCUAGGAGACAAAAGUUUACCACACACUAGCCCGUGACACCUCACAGGAAAACGCAGAUGACAUUGGUUCACAUUCUGUUUUACUGUUAAUAGCUGUGACCCCAGUUGGGAAAAUGGCAGGUAAGAGACCUCAUAUAGGGAAGUGGAGGAUUAUGGGUAGCACUUUAGGGUUAGCAUCUGGAUCCAGGUGAAGACAGCAAUGGGAGAGACUCAGUGCAGUGUGGCAGGCAGCAGCGGAGGACCGCUGGCUGGACUAAUUUUUGGGGGGAAAUUUCUAAAACCUUCUUUACCUCUUACUGGGCACAUCAUGUUCCGCUUCACCUGCUGAGACAAGUUGCUUUCUCUGGCUACUCAAAUGCGAUCAUGAAUACUGCUUCUUCCCACGAGGUUGAAAAUAAAAUAAUGCAAAACACGUGGUACUAGUGGGCAUUGGAUAAAUGGCAGUUUCCCUCUGGCAUAGAGUGGAUGAGUGUAAGCGUCUAGAGAGAAGGGAGGUCACUCGGAACAGGAAUGAGAACCUUGAAUGUUUAGGAUUUGCACUGCUUCUCCAAGAGAUCAAUUCAUACCACCAUACAGAAGCUUCCGGGGAUGGCAUACAUCAGAGGAAACACCCUCACUUAUAAUUUAGAAGAUGUGUCAAGGAUAUUAAGUAAAAGGACGUGCAUGUUAGUAGCUAUCAAAGGACAUAACACUUUAUAUAACUCCCUCUAUAAGCAACGCAUAAUGAAUGCAAAUCCAAUGUCGAAAGAGUGAUGCAUCUCUUAAUUUGCUACUUGUUGGCCCACUGCCAAUCAUGGUGCACACUCUAACCCUGAAUAGUGAAAGGCCCCAGGCCCAGACAAGUAUCAGUUCAUUGGGCCAUGAUGGCAAAUGACCUCAAACCUUCCAAGGAAAACAUGAAGAGGAAGCAGAGAUGAAAGGCCACCCCAAAGGUGAUAUAAUUGUCUGUAAUGCUGUUGUUUAUGUAGGUGAUUUUUAGUGUCAGCCAUUAAAAUUAAAUCAACUCUCAUGUGACAAGUGCUUUAUGUGUUGGGGUGCAAUAGACUUUGUAUAACCCACUUGUGAUUUCUGUUUUUCUAGAUAAAGAACAGAAGAGAAAUUUUUCCUUCAUUUGGCUUCAUCUGUUUCAUAGAGUAAGGCACUUUUGGUCAGGGAAGCAGCUGUCACCGUCGAUGAGUUGGCCAAGGUGUAGUCACCGAGUAACUGGUGUGCAGGAUCAAUAGAGACUAACAUGGAAGCUGCCCAGAGAGAGAAUGGACUUCAGCCCCAGCCCCAGCCAGCUUUAUGGGAAAUGAGUCAAGGGAAUAAAUAUAUCAAUAGCAUUUUCUCUUUUCUUCUGGCCAAAUCAAUCCAGAAGGAAGCGUGUGUGUGUGUGUGUGUGUGUGUGUGUGUGUGUGUGUGUGUGUGUGUGUAACCCACUGCUAUGGCUCAUCCUUCCAGAUAGAGAGCAAUGCAGACAGACAGUCGGAGAACAAAGACCAGACAUCUGACAUGAGAACAGACAUGUUCCACUGCUUCCUCCUUCUGCCAAGAUGUGAGGCUAGGAGUACCAGCUGCACACUGCUGCCACCACGGAGCAGCCUGCUGCCAUGCCUCCCCCUGCAUAAGGGACUAUGUCCCUUCAAAUUGGGCUCACAGUUCAGAAAUUGUCUUGACUAUCAGAAGGCACACUGGAAUUUUUAAGUGAUGGGACGUUUUUUAACAAAUGACACAGUGGAAUUUUCAACUCUGUUAAAGAGCGUGGACCUUGGAGGUUGAACUGAAUGUAUUUGCAUCUUAAGAUAGCUUCGAGCCUCUGGGGCUGGGGAGUGGAAUGUUAUGGUUGGAAUGUGAGAUGUCCUGUUAAGGGCCCUGUGCUUAAACACUUUGGUCCUGACACAGAUGGCUCUAUUUGGAAAGUUGUGGGGCCUUGAAGAGGUGACACCUCACCAGAGAAAGUGGAUCACUGGGCACAAGCCUUGAGAUUUUAUAACCAACCCCACUCCCUGUCCAUUUUAGGCUUUCUGUUCUGUAAUGGUAUAAGGUGAAGUGUCCCAGCUACACACUUCUCUUACCAUGGAGAGGCUGGAAGCCAUGUCUUUCCCAAUAGUAGGCCAUAUCUCCUGACACUGUAAGUGAACAUUAAACUCUCCUACUUCUUAAAAACAAACAACAAUAACAACAAAACCCCCAAAACUGUCCUGAGGUAGAGGAUAAGGAAAGGUAGAGAAGAAGGGGUAGCCUGGCACAGCUGUGCACACCUAUAACCCCAGCACUUGAGAGGCUGUGAGACAGUAUCACAGUGCUGCAUAGUGAGUUCUAGGCCAGUCUGGGCCACACAGGGAACCUCUGUCUUUAAAAAAGUUAGAAGUAGGUUAAUGUAUUACCAUCUUGGGCAAACAUAACAAAAUAACACAAACUGUGUGCCUCUAAAAAUAGAAAUUUUUUUUCAGAGUUCUGGAACUUAGAAGAACAAGACCUGGGUGUCGAAGGUUUGGUUUACCGUCCUUACUGUGUCUGCAGGGGGUACCCCUCUAUGAGCAUACACCCCUGUGAUCUAGUCAUACUGAAUUGGAGACUCACUUUUUUUUAUUACCUCAUUAAAUUAAAAUUAUGUUUUCCAAGGUCCUCGCUCCCGAGACAGUCACAUUGGAAUGUGGAGAGAGGCUGUACAAUUCAGUCCAUAGUAUGAGUUGGCUGGACGGUUUAUACCACUAAUGAGCCCUUUAAAUAACUGCAGCAUGGAGGGACCCUGAGACCCAGACUCUGACCUUGGUCAUUGCUUCACAGACACCAUAUCCAGAGAACUUGACUCUAACCUGGACUUCCGUUCAUUGCGGAAGGGACUAAGGUACAGACAGAGGCAGAAGCAAAACUGUGUUGAAGCCAAGAAGCCAAAGAGGAAGUCCUCGAAGGAAGCCAGUUCACGGACACCGCAGUCUUGGACUUUGAAACUGCGGAAAGGCUAUGAAACCAUUCUGUGUUUAAGCCACUUACUGCAGCCUUCUGAGACCUUUGCUAUGACAGCUUCAGCAAACCAACAGAGGCGCAAACGUGUUUCCUAAGGCCCAUCUCUAACAGCAUUCCUCUCUGCAGGCUGAUGACAUAGCCCUAGGCUAACUGGAAGCCCAGACUCCCAUACCUGGCCCCACACCCGCCAUAGUUUGGCAACUCAGGUGUUCCUACGUGAACUUGCCACACUGGCCCACAGUUUGCCAGCCUGGAGACAGAGGCCCCGAUCUUGGCAGGCAUAGUUUGCCUGCAGGGCUUUUCUACCUGGAACAGAGGGAGCAUCAUGGCUUUAGAACGUUUUGCCCCUUAGCAGCAGAAGUUAGCUGGUGUAAACCUUACUGUCAGUCAGUGGCCAUGUUUUCCCAGACAGAAACAACUGGAAUGUAUAAGAAGGGAAAGUUGGAGAGGGUUUACUAUCCCUCCAGUUGCUUCGUUCAUUCAAGCGAACAAUUCGAGAGAUGCUGACUUCCUGACACUCAUUCUGCUGAAUUCCAUCUGCAUCCCUGCUUUCCUGGACAACUUAAUUGUUCUUCCCCUUUUGUGUGGGAAGCCACAUGUGCCGUUGCAGAGUGGCACUGACUACUGCUGGCCACCACGCAUAAGAUUGGACAAACAACCAAUGUGUACAUAUGCAGUAAAGUUUUUUGCAAAGACACUGCCUGGCCCGGGCAUGAUAAUGAGGUCUGUAAGGUACUGAGAGUAUAAACAAUCAGAUGUGAGACAUGCAAAUGAGGUAUGAUAAUGAGGUUCUGUAAGGUACUGAGAGUAUAACCAAUCAGAUGUGAGACAUGCAAAUGAGGUAUGAUAAUGAGGCUCUGUGAGGUACUGAGAGAGAGUAGCCAAUCAGAUGAGGAACAUGCAAAUGAGGCAUAGUGCAUAACCAAUCCGGGUGUAAGACACGCCUCUCCUAGGCCUAUAAAAGCAGCACCAGUUCUGGGCUCGGGGUCUUUUCGCCUCUACAAUCAAGCUCUCCUAAUAAACGUGUGCAGAAGGAUCCUGUUGCAGCGUCGUUCUUCCUGGCCAGUCGAGCGCGCGCAAGACUUUUGCUGAUCCCACCACCGGUACCCUUGCCCACUGUAGCCUUAGCCACGGAAUUCAGAUGUUUGUGACUUACAACCGGAGUAACACACCGCUGUCCUUCCAUCUUCCUGUUCUCCCAUCCCUCUAGCGAAGUGGCUCUGGACUUUCCUAAUGCUACCUCUGUUUAAUAUGGUUCUUCACGUUGAGGUGACCAGCAACCACAAGAUUCUUUUUGGUGCUACUUCCUAACUAUUGUCUUCAGCCACUUGAGUUUGGAAGAAGUAUUAUCCUUCAAGUGAGAAGCCUCUGCCAACCUAGGCUUAAUGAAGGCAUUAGAAGCAUCGGCUUCUCAUCUCCAGAGUAGGAAUUAAAAUACCUACUUUGUAGUUUAGUUAACUGGUUGUCGGUGUUGUAUAUAAAUGACUAUUACAAGUGUAGGAACUAAAAAGGUCAGGGGAAAGAGGGGAAGGGGAGGAUAACCCGCACCCGGCCAGAGUUCUUCCUAUGCUCUGGGCAGGCAGAGGAGGGAGGGCUGCCAGAUGCUUUCCACUCGGCCCCAGGUGGGUAUCUAAGCCACUGACCCCACUCAGCGGGGGGUGGAUGGGGGCAGCCCAGGACCGGGUCCCUGGGACAACACCCUGUAGCCCCGGGGUUAUGGGAGAGAGGGCUGAGGGAGAG